AAUAAAUUUAAUUAUUGUUUAAAUAUUUAUUAAAAAAUUAAAAAUUAUAUAUAAAAUUUUAUAUAAUUAAAAAAUUUAAAUAAUUUUUUAAAUAAUAUAAUUUAUAUUUAAUAUAUUAAAAUUUAUAAAAAUAAAAUAAAGUAAAUUAAUUAAUUAUAAAUAAAAUUAGUGCCAGCAAUUGCGGUUAAACUAAUUAUAAAAAUAAAUAUUUUAUAAUUUAAUAAAAAAUAAAAAAUUAAUUAAAAAAUUAAAUUAAAUAUUAAUUUUUUGGUGAAAUAUAAUUUAAUAUUUAUAUUUAAUAUUUAAAAUUAAAAAUUAAUUAUUUUAAAUUUAUUAAUAAAAUAGGAUUAGAUACCCUAGUAUUUAAAUAUAAAUAUAUAAAAAUUUAAGUAUUAAAUGUUUUAUCAUUAAAUUUAAAUAAUUUGGCAGUAUUUUUUAUAUUAGAGGAACUUGUUUUUUAAUUGAUAAACCACGUUUAUAACUACUUAAUUAAAAUUUUUUAUGUAUUGUUGUUUUAAAUUUAUCAUUAUAAAUGAAAGAAUAUUUAAAAUUUUUGAUAUAAAAAUAAUUCAAAUCAAAAUGUAGAAUAAUUAAGAUAGAAUGAGUUACAAUUAUUUUAAAUAUUGGGUUUUUAUAUUUAUUUAUAAGAUAAAAUUGGAUUUAAAAGUAAAAUUAAUUAUAUAAUUAAUUUGAAUAAUAUAAAAAAUGUGUACAAAUUGCCCGUCAUUUUUAUUUUAAAAUAAAAAAAGUCGUAACAUAGUAAAUGUACUGGAAAGUGUAUUUAGAUUAAA
rnacentral:ncRNA from 1 species